rnacentral:rRNA from 1 species
AACGAACACUGGCGGCAGGCCUAACACAUGCAAGUCGAGCGAGGACUUCGGUCCUAGCGGCGGACGGGUGAGUAACGCGUGGGAACGUGCCCUUUGCUACGGAAUAGCCCCGGGAAACUGGGAGUAAUACCGUAUGUGCCCUUCGGGGGAAAGAUUUAUCGGCAAAGGAUCGGCCCGCGUUGGAUUAGGUAGUUGGUGGGGUAAUGGCCUACCAAGCCGACGAUCCAUAGCUGGUUUGAGAGGAUGAUCAGCCACACUGGGACUGAGACACGGCCCAGACUCCUACGGUAGGCAGCAGUGGGGAAUCUUAGACAAUGGGGGAAACCCUGAUCUAGCCAUGCCGCGUGAGCGAUGAAGGCCUUAGGGUUGUAAAGCUCUUUCAGUGGGGAAGAUAAUGACGGUACCCACAGAAGAAGCCCCGGCUAACUCCGUGCCAGCCGCCGCGGUAAUAC